AGCAGCAGCCGCGGUAAUACGGAGGGUGCAAGCGUUAUCCGGAUUUAUUGGGUUUAAAGGGUCCGUAGGCGGACUUAUAAGUCAGUGGUGAAAGCCUGUCGCUUAACGAUAGAACUGCCAUUGAUACUGUAAGUCUUGAGUAUAUUUGAGGUAGCUGGAAUAAGUAGUGUAGCGGUGAAAUGCAUAGAUAUUACUUAGAACACCAAUUGCGAAGGCAGGUUACCAAGAUAUAACUGACGCUGAGGGACGAAAGCGUGGGUAGCGAACAGGAUUAGAUACCCCCGUAGUCCCUGUCUCUUAUAC
rnacentral:rRNA from 1 species